GGUGACUGCGUACCUUUUGUAUAAUGGGUCAGCGACUUAUAUUCUGUAGCAAGGUUAACCGAAUAGGGGAGCCGAAGGGAAACCGAGUCUUAACCGGGCGUUAAGUUGCAGGGUAUAGACCCGAAACCCGGUGAUCUAGCCAUGGGCAGGUUGAAGGUUGGGUAACACUAACUGGAGGACCGAACCGACUAAUGUUGAAAAAUUAGCGGAUGACUUGUGGCUGGGGGUGAAAGGCCAAUCAAACCGGGAGAUAGCUGGUUCUCCCCGAAAGCUAUUUAGGUAGCGCCUCGUGAAUUCAUCUCCGGGGGUAGAGCACUGUUUCGGCAAGGGGGUCAUCCCGACUUACCAACCCGAUGCAAACUGCGAAUACCGGAGAAUGUUAUCACGGGAGACACACGGCGGGUGCUAACGUCCGUCGUGAAGAGGGAAACAACCCAGACCGCCAGCUAAGGUCCCAAAGUCAUGGUUAAGUGGGAAACGAUGUGGGAAGGCCCAGACAGCCAGGAUGUUGGCUUAGAAGCAGCCAUCAUUUAAAGAAAGCGUAAUAGCUCACUGGUCGAGUCGGCCUGCGCGGAAGAUGUAACGGGGCUAAACCAUGCACCGAAGCUGCGGCAGCGACACUGUGUGUUGUUGGGUAGGGGAGCGUUCUGUAAGCCUGUGAAGGUGUGCUGUGAGGCAUGCUGGAGGUAUCAGAAGUGCGAAUGCUGACAUAAGUAACGAUAAAGCGGGUGAAAAGCCCGCUCGCCGGAAGACCAAGGGUUCCUGUCCAACGUUAAUCGGGGCAGGGUGAGUCGACCCCUAAGGCGAGGCCGAAAGGCGUAGUCGAUGGGAAACAGGUUAAUAUUCCUGUACUUGGUGUUACUGCGAAGGGGGGACGGAGAAGGCUAUGUUGGCCGGGCGACGGUUGUCCCGGUUUAAGCGUGUAGGCUGGUUUUCCAGGCAAAUCCGGAAAAUCAAGGCUGAGGCGUGAUGACGAGGCACUACGGUGCUGAAGCAACAAAUGCCCUGCUUCCAGGAAAAGCCUCUAAGCAUCAGGUAACAUCAAAUCGUACCCCAAACCGACACAGGUGGUCAGGUAGAGAAUACCAAGGCGCUUGAGAGAACUCGGGUGAAGGAACUAGGCAAAAUGGUGCCGUAACUUCGGGAGAAGGCACGCUGAUAUGUAGGUGAAGUCCCUCGCGGAUGGAGCUGAAAUCAGUCGAAGAUACCAGCUGGCUGCAACUGUUUAUUAAAAACACAGCACUGUGCAAACACGAAAGUGGACGUAUACGGUGUGACGCCUGCCCGGUGCCGGAAGGUUAAUUGAUGGGGUCAGCGCAAGCGAAGCUCUUGAUCGAAGCCCCGGUAAACGGCGGCCGUAACUAUAACGGUCCUAAGGUAGCGAAAUUCCUUGUCGGGUAAGUUCCGACCUGCACGAAUGGCGUAAUGAUGGCCAGGCUGUCUCCACCCGAGACUCAGUGAAAUUGAACUCGCUGUGAAGAUGCAGUGUACCCGCGGCAAGACGGAAAGACCCCGUGAACCUUUACUAUAGCUUGACACUGAACAUUGAGCCUUGAUGUGUAGGAUAGGUGGGAGGCUUUGAAGUGUGGACGCCAGUCUGCAUGGAGCCGACCUUGAAAUACCACCCUUUAAUGUUUGAUGUUCUAACGUGGACCCGUGAUCCGGGUUGCGGACAGUGUCUGGUGGGUAGUUUGACUGGGGCGGUCUCCUCCUAAAGAGUAACGGAGGAGCACGAAGGUUGGCUAAUCCUGGUCGGACAUCAGGAGGUUAGUGCAAUGGCAUAAGCCAGCUUGACUGCGAGCGUGACGGCGCGAGCAGGUGCGAAAGCAGGUCAUAGUGAUCCGGUGGUUCUGAAUGGAAGGGCCAUCGCUCAACGGAUAAAAGGUACUCCGGGGAUAACAGGCUGAUACCGCCCAAGAGUUCAUAUCGACGGCGGUGUUUGGCACCUCGAUGUCGGCUCAUCACAUCCUGGGGCUGAAGUAGGUCCCAAGGGUAUGGCUGUUCGCCAUUUAAAGUGGUACGCGAGCUGGGUUUAGAACGUCGUGAGACAGUUCGGUCCCUAUCUGCCGUGGGCGCUGGAGAACUGAGGGGGGCUGCUCCUAGUACGAGAGGACCGGAGUGGACGCAUCACUGGUGUUCGGGUUGUCAUGCCAAUGGCACUGCCCGGUAGCUAAAUGCGGAAGAGAUAAGUGCUGAAAGCAUCUAAGCACGAAACUUGCCCCGAGAUGAGUUCUCCCUGACCCUUUAAGGGUCCUGAAGGAACGUUGAAGACGACGACGUUGAUAGGCCGGGUGUGUAAGCGCAGCGAUGCGUUGAGCUAACCGGUACUAAUGAACCGUGAGGCUUAACCUUACAACGCCGAAGGUGUUU
rnacentral:rRNA from 1 species